AACCUACCUAUCAGGAGGGGAAUAACCCGGCGAAAGUCGGACUAAUACCGCAUAAAACAGGGGCACCGCAUGGUGAUAUUUGUUAAAGAAAUUCGCUGAUAGAUGGGCGAUGCGUUCCAUUAGGUAGUUGGUGAGGUAACGGCUCACCAAGCCGACGAUGGAUAGGGGAACGUGAGAGGUUGGUCCCCCACCACUGGUACUGAGACACGGACCAGACUCCUACGGGAGGCAGCAGUGAGGAAUAUUGGUCAAUGGGCGGGAGCCUGAACCAGCCAAGUCGCGUGAAGGAAGAAGGAUCUAUGGUUCGUAAACUUCUUUUGCAGGGGAAUAAAGUGCAGGACGUGUCCUGUUUUGUAUGUACCCUGAGAAUAAGGAUCGGCUAACUCCGUGCCAGCCGCCGC
rnacentral:rRNA from 1 species